rnacentral:rRNA from 1 species
AUUGAACGCUGGCGGCAGGCCUAACACAUGCAAGUCGAACGAGUGGCGGACGGGUGAGUAAUGGCUGGGAAACUGCCUGAUGGAGGGGGAAAACUACUGGAAACGGUAGCUAAUACCGCAUAACCUCAGAUCUGCCCAGAUGGGAUUAGCUAGUUGGUGGGGAAACGGCUAACCAAGGGGACGCUGCCCAGCUGGUCUGAGAGGAUGACCAGCCACACUGGAACUGAGACACGGUCCAGACUCCUACGGGAGGCAGCAGUGGGGAAUAUUGCACAAUGGGCGCAAGCCGGAUGCAGCCAUGCCGCGUGUAUGAAGAAGGCCUUCGGGUUGGAAAGUACUUUCAGCGGGGAGGCGUUACCAGCAGAAGAAGCACCGGCUAACUCCGUGCCAGCAGCCGCGGUAAUUC